UACACACCGCCCGUCACGCCAUGGAAGUCGGGGAGUGCCCCGAAGUCCCGUUUGCCCCCAAACCCCCGCAAGGGGAGGGAGCGGCCGAAGGCGAGCUCGAUGACUGGGGCG
rnacentral:rRNA from 1 species